rnacentral:rRNA from 1 species
CCUACGGGUGGCAGCAGUGGGGAAUAUUGGGCAAUGGGCGCAAGCCUGACCCAGCAACGCCGCGUGAAGGAAGAAGGCUUUCGGGUUGUAAACUUCUUUUCUCAGGGACGAAGAAAGUGACGGUACCUGAGGAAUAAGCCACGGCUAACUACGUGCCAGCAGCCGAGGUAAUACGUAGGUGGCAAGCGUUAUCCGGAUUUACUGGGUGUAAAGGGCGUGUAGGCGGGAAAGCAAGUCAGAUGUGAAAACCAUGGGCUCAACCUGUGGCCUGCAUUUGAAACUGUUUUUCUUGAGUACUGGGGAGGCAGACGGAAAUCCUCGUGUAGCGGUGGAAUGCGUAGAUAUGAGGAGGAACACCAGUGGCGAAGGCGGUCUGCUGGACAGCAACUGACGCUGAGGCGCGAAAGCGUGGGGAGCAAACAGGAUUAGAUACCCGUGUAGUC